GCGGGCCCAGUAUACUUACCUCUUCGAGUGACAGGCACCCGGGCACCAGGUGACCCGCAGGAGGGACCUUCAAAGGGUCCAGCUAGCACAGAGUAUCUGCAGUAGUCGUGCAUCA